rnacentral:rRNA from 1 species
GGAUUAGAUACCCUGGUAGUCCACGCCGUAAACGAUGAGAACUAGACGUUGUGGGAGUUGACCCUUGCAGCGUCGUAGCUAACGCGUUAAGUUCUCCGCCUGGGAAGUACGGUCGCAAGACUAAAACUCAAAGGAAUUGACGGGGGCCCGCACAAGCGGUGGAUUAUGUGGUUUAAUUCGAAGCAACGCGCAGAACCUUACCUAGGUUUGAAAUCCUGAGAAUCCGCCCGAAAAGGUGGAGUGCCCUUCGGGGAAUUCAGUGACAGGCGCUGCAUGGCUGUCGUCAGCUCGUGCCG